GGCCGCCGGAGCGAGGGGGGCCCCCCCGGUGCGGGCGGAGCUGAACGAGCUGCGGGAGCGGAUGGACAGGCUCCGGGCCGAUUUCGAUCUCUCCCAGCUCCGGACGCUGCGGCUGGAG